UAGCGAUAGCUAAUUGCAAAUAUUGACUAAGUCGAAUAAAAUUCUAGGUAGAGAUUUGAUAAUGACAAGCUCUGCCUAUUAGUCUUGACCAAAUUACGUGCCAGCAGUCGCGGUAACACGUAAAAGACAAGUGUUAUUCAUCUUUAAUAGGUUUAAAGGGUACCUAGACGGUAAAUCAAGCACUAAUUUACUAGAGUUACUUGCGAGGGGGCACUAAAGUACUAAUGGUGUAGAGAUGAAAUUUUACAAUACCUUUUUUCGAUGGCACAAGUAUAGGCGAAAGCAUCCUCUUAUGUGAUAACUGACGUUGAGGGACGAAGGCUUUGAAUGCGAACAGGAUUAGAUACCCUGGUAUGAAGCAGAAAAUGAUGAAUGUCAUAGACUAGACAGUUUAUUCUAUAAAUGAAAGUGUAAGCAUUCCACCUCAAGAGUAAUUUGGCAACAUUGGAACUGAAAUCAUUAGACCGUUUCUGAAACCAGUAGUGAAGUAUGUUGUUUAAUUUGAUAAUCCGCAAAAAACCUUACCACAAUUUGAAUAUUUAUAUUA
rnacentral:rRNA from 1 species